UACAGAGACUGCAAGCGUUAUUCGGAUUCACUGGGCGUAAAGGGUGCGCAGGCGGCCAAGUGUGUCAGGUGUGAAAUCCCGAGGCUUAACCUCGGAACUGCGCCUGAAACUACUUGGCUAGAGUACUGGAGAGGGUAACGGAAUUCACGGUGUAGCAGUGAAAUGCGUAGAUAUCGGCAGGAACACCCAGGGGGAAACCAGCCGACUGGGCAUCUACUGACGCUGAGGUGCGAGAGCGUGGGGAGCGAACCGG
rnacentral:rRNA from 1 species